rnacentral:rRNA from 1 species
UCCUCCCUCUUUCUUCGUGCUUAACACAUGCAAGUCGAACGGAAAGGCCCUGCUUUUGUGGGGUGCUCGAGUGGCGAACGGGUGAGUAACACGUGAGUAACCUGCCCUUGACUUUGGGAUAACUUCAGGAAACUGGGGCUCAUACCGGAUAGGAGCUCCUGCUGCAUGGUGGGGGUUGGAAAGUUUCGGCGGUUGGGGAUGGACUCGCGGCUUAUCAGCUUGUUGGUGGGGUAGUGGCUUACCAAGGCUUUGACGGGUAGCCGGCCUGAGAGGGUGACCGGCCACAUUGGGACUGAGAUACGGCCCAGACUCCUACGGGAGGCAGCAGUGGGGAAUAUUGCACAAUGGGCGGAAGCCUGAUGCAGCAACGCCGCGUGCGGGAUGACGGCCUUCGGGUUGUAAACCGCUUUCGCCUGUGACGAAGCGUGAGUGACGGUAAUGGGUAAAGAAGCACCGGCUAACUACGUG